AUUGAACGCUGGCGGCAUGCCUAACACAUGCAAGUCGAACGAGUGGCGGACGGGUGAGUAAUGUCUGGGAAACUGCCUGAUGGCGGGGGAUAACUACUGGAAACGGUAGCUAAUACCGCAUACCAUCAGAUGUGCCCCGAUGGGAUUAGCUAGUUGGUGGGGUAACGGCUCACCAAGGCGACGAUCCCUAGCUGGUCUGAGAGGAUGACCAGCCACACUGGAACUGAGACACGGGCCAGACUCCUACGGUAGGCAGCAGUGGGGAAUUUUGGACAAUGGGCGCAAGCCUGAUGCAGCCAUGCCGCGUGUAUGAUGAAGGCCUUCGGGUUGUAAAGUACUUUUAGCAGAGAGGCGGUACCUGCAGAAUAAGCACCGGCUAACUCCGUGCCAGCAGCCGCGGUAAUAC
rnacentral:rRNA from 1 species